UUCUUGCAAUUCUAAAUAAGGACCAAUUACCUUCCACUACCAGUUAUUCUGCUUCACUAAGAGGCCAAUGACACCAGUAAAAUAUAAUUACAUUGGUAAUUAUGUCAAACCAUUUAUUGUGAAAUCGAAUCAAUAUUAAAAGUCAACAUCACAAAUCAAAAAGCUCCUUCAAUAGUCCCGAUUUCUUCCUUGGCUGCUCAAAUUUAAAGCAUACAUUUGGGAAAACAAUACAAACCAUUUAUAUAUAAUUGAAAAACUAGUGCUAAUAUUAUAACACAAAUGUUUUACCAGUAAUUAUGAAAACAUCAAUCGUUUUCAAAAUAUUUAAUGUGCCCAUCAUAACCAAACAUAUUUAACUAGAUCCUCCAGACUGAAAUUAACAUAUUAAAAGCAAAACUAAUCUAGCGUGGAAUAGAUUUUAAUUUAAAAACAGUAGGAUCUCAUACCAAAGACUUGAAUGUUUUGUUUGGAUUGUAACCAAACGAAAAAUUAUAUCACUGCAAGUUAUGUUACAUCUUUUUGUGCUAGGUACAUAAUUUUCUAUUUGAAGGUUUGUAUCCUGUAGAAUAUCAUACUGAGGUCAAUCAGUUUCAUGCAAAUGAUAAUCCAGCAUUUUUCAGCCAUCAACAGCCAAACAAAAGACAAUAGUACAUCCCACUUACCAAGUACUUUAGAAUAAAGAGUAUUGUUCUACCUAUUAACUGAGAUCAAAGACCAAGUUGAAAAUGCCAACUGUAAAACAAAUGAACCUCCAAAUAUGAGGCCUAGCUGUAUGGACCAAAAUUUUGGAAUGGACACUGGAAGAGUCAAGGCUUAGGCAUAGGUCAAAAUGUAAAGGCUGAGACAAAGGUCACAAGUGUACAGAUCAUCAGCUAAACAGUGUGAAUAUUUCAAAAAGGAUGAACAAUUUUGAACUUGUAGUGUGGAUCUUCUCAUGUUUUAGCCAUAGAAACAAGUCAAAAUGAACACAAAGGAACCGACUGACAACUUUAUACAAGGAUACGUACAUAGUUCAAAUUUUACCAUAUUUGUCUUAAAUACCUACUUCAUUAAAAUUUAUAUAUUCCUGUACCCUUCGGUGUUAUAUAACACAUUUAUUAACUAAAAGCUGGCUUAAAUUUCCUAUAGUAUACAAUGGCUCAUGUGUUCUAUUUUCAAAAUUCAAAUCAUGGAGAACUACUGUAAGACAUAAUUUAUACUCACAAUAUA